GCUCAGUGAGCAAACUUAUAUCCAGUACCACAGUUUUCUUAUGAUAAUGUAAUGACAAUGUAAUCAAUUUUGAAGCCAAUCCAUAAGGGUGAUGAGGAGGGUGUAGAGAUGGAUCAGAAGAAACGGCCAAGGCUAAGAAUUCAGAAGUCCUGACAAAUGUUCCCCUCUAAGUCCUGAUAUGGAAAUAUAUGGCCAUUCCUUCACUGACGCUGGGUCAAAUCCUUGGAAUCCCC